rnacentral:rRNA from 1 species
GAACGGCAGCACAGGUAGCAAUACCGGGUGGCGAGUGGCGGACGGGUGAGGAAUACAUCGGGACCUGCCCAGACGUGGGGGAUAACGUAGGGAAACUUACGCUAAUACCGCAUACGUCCUACGGGAGAAAGCGGGGGAUCGCAAGACCUCGCGCGGUUGGAUGGACCGAUGUUCGAUUAGCUAGUUGGUAGGGUAAUGGCCUACCAAGGCGACGAUCGAUAGCUGGUCUGAGAGGAUGAUCAGCCACACUGGGACUGAGACACGGCCCAGACUCCUACGGGAGGCAGCAGUGGGGAAUAUUGGACAAUGGGCGCAAGCCUGAUCCAGCAAUGCCGCGUGUGUGAAGAAGGCCUUCGGGUUGUAAAGCACUUUUAUCAGGAGCGAAAUACUACCGGCUAAUACCCGGUGGGGCUGACGGUACCUGAGGAAUAGGCACCGGCUAACUUCGUGCCAGCAGCCGCGGUAAU